GAGAACAAGCUCAAGGAAAUCCGAGUUUUCACAGUUGUAUUGCUGGAUCUGACUGUGGCCCGCAGCCAUGAGCAAUAAACUUACUUAAAGUCACCCCAGGAAAGAAAACUAUCAAGAAAUUGGACUCGUCUAUACAGAGAUGCACGAUUUCUCCUUCAGCUCAGCUUCUCCCCAAGCGGCCACCUAUAACCACAGCCUCAGCGUUUGUGUGCCCCUGGGGACCCGGCAGACGAGGAUUUCCUCUGCGCUUCUGCUCCUGGCCUGCUGUGGGGCUGUAGGAAGUCAUUUUGCAGCUGUCUGCCUCAGUUUCCCCCACACGCAGACUCUUGAUCCCCGCGCGAGGGAGGGAGGCAGCCAGCGCCGGUGCCUUGCUGCACAGCCCUGCCGAGAUCCCCACCAGUGCUUCCCCCAGCGAAUCCCCCCCGAGGCAAGCAGCAAGAAAAGUCCCCACCACCUGCAUUUUUGGGGCCAGACUUUCUUCAUGGAGAACUGCUUGCAAGAAACACAUUAUGCUCUGGAGUCUGGUGGCCCUAAAUAUUAG
rnacentral:lncRNA from 1 species